rnacentral:misc_RNA from 1 species
AACGCACGAGACCUGCGGACCUGCGGAAGGAUCAUUACCGAGUUUACAACUCCCAAACCCAUGUGAACAUACCUACUGUUGCUUCGGCGGGAUUGCCCCGGGCGCCUCGUGUGCCCCGGAUCAGGCGCCCGCCUAGGAAACUUAACUCUUGUUUUAUUUUGGAAUCUUCUGAGUAGUUUUUACAAAUAAAUAAAAACUUUUAACAAUGGAUCUCU